rnacentral:rRNA from 1 species
CAGCCGCCACGGGAAAACGAAGGGGGCUAGCGUUGUUCGGAUUUACUGGGCGUAAAGCGCACGUAGGCGGACGCUUAAGUCAGGGGUGAAAUCCCGAGGCUCAACCUCGGAACUGCCCUUGAUACUGGGUGUCUUGAGUCCGGGAGAGGUGAGUGGAACUGCGAGUGUAGAGGUGAAAUUCGUGGAUAUUCGCAAGAACACCAGUGGCGAAGGCGGCUCACGGGCCCGGAACUGACGCUGAGGUGCGAAAGCGUGGGGAGCAAACAGGAUUAGAUACCCCGGUAGUCCCUGUCUCUUAUAC